UAAACCUGGUUGAUCCUGCCAGUAGUCAUAUGCUUGUCUCAAAGAUUAAGCCAUGCAUGUCUCAGUAUAAGCUUCUAUACGGCGAAACUGCGAAUGGCUCAUUAAAACAGUUAUAGUUUAUUUGAUGGUCAUUCAUUACAUGGAUAACCGUGGUAAUUCUAGAGCUAAUACAUGCGCUCAAACCCAACUUUGUG
rnacentral:rRNA from 1 species